rnacentral:rRNA from 1 species
CACACCGCCCGUCACACCAUGGGAGUUGAUUGCUCCAGAAGUGCCUAAGCUAACCGUAAGGAAGCAGGGCCCCAAGGAGUGGUCGAUGACUGGGGUG